GGUAGAAAUUGCUGAUUAUAUUCUAUGGUAAACUGUGAUUAUUAUGAGGUCUUUAUGUCUAAUAGUGGAAAACACACGGUGCCUGGGGGUCUGGGUUUAGAACAGAUGGACCCCCCCUAAAAGGAGCAGGGCUAUCUUUGCUGACCAUUUGUUGUCUAUUUUCUGACCAUUCAGGUUAAAAUGGAUUUAUGACUGAAUGGAGGCAGACACCUCAAGGAGAAGCUGCUCUGUUUGUGUGUAUAAAAAGACGCCGCAGUUUGUGAACGACAGUGACUCUGCAGACCCACUCAGGCUGUUGUCGUUGUCGUUUUUCUUCACGAUAAAGUCUUUUUCAAUUCUUGCUCCGGACCCCUCGAUUUCUUUUACACUCUCUCUUAAAUUAGUCUAAGUGUUUUAAAUCUCGAUUAAUCUCCGACAUAAUUGGCGUCGCGACCAGGAGGAAAUAGGGACUCGCCAGCUGCCGGGCCAGAGGACGGGACGCGAACGGAUCAUACGACCAGAGCUCAAGGAGCACUGGUGAGACAACGGGUUGGAUCGGAGAGAGAAGGUGUUUGGAGAAGGGAGAGGAAUGUAAUGACAGCAAAAAGGACGGACACGGACCGACCCGGAGAUGGGUAGAAGCAGUCCCAUCAGAAGACCAAAGUGCGGCUACGGUAAUCAAGUUCCUGACUAGAGAAGUCAUGCCAAGGUUUGGAAUUCCGUCACAAAUUAGCUCAGGCAAUAGGGCAGCAUUUAUUCAGAAAACACUCAAACAAGUGAUUUAACAUCUGCAUGUCAAAUAAAGACUAGUCCGUGUCUACAUUCCUCAAACCACAAGGUAUGGUGGAGAGAGGAAUGGGACGCUUAAGACAAAGAUUAACAAAAUUAAAUUAGAGUACUAAAUUGGAGGACUAAUGCACUACGACUGACACUAAUGAGUUAUCGCAUGAAAAACUAACAGAACGACGCAUCUAACCCCGCAUGAAAUGUUUACGGGUCGACCCAUGCCUUCACCUGUCAUUCGAGGGCCUUAUAAAAGACCUCCAUUGGAACAAUUGGAAACUGAAUUAAGACGUUAUAUGGGACAACUAACUGGCAUACACAGGCUUAUUUUUCAACAAGAGAAAGACAGAGUUCCAGAGUUGGAGAAGGAGCCACCAAGGGGGGUGGAGCCAGGUGACCAAGUGUAUCUCAGGAUGUUCAGGAGAAAGUGGAACUAGCCCAGGAGAGAAGGACCAUACAAAGUCACCAACGCAACACCAACAGCCAUCCAAGUGGAAGGAAGUGCCACGUGGUAUCAUCUCAACCACUGCACAAAAGCCGCUCAACCUAAAGCCAGGGAUGAGUGUGAGGAGGAGCCGGAGCCGGACGCAGACACACCUGGGGCUGACCAGCUGCCCCAGGGCCAGAUCAAGUCGAGCCAAGAGAUACAACAGCAUGAUGAUGCUGAAAACGGGGAGCCUGUUUCUGAUCCUUUACGGGUUGUGCCAGAUUUCGCUGGCACAAGCACAGACCCCGAGGAAGGAUGAAACAACGGGGACAACACAAACCUGGAAGGGCCAGGAAUUAGGGGGUGGUAGGCCUACUGAAGAAAGCCAGAGAGGAACACAGGAUAAUCCGGCCCAAAAUCAUUCAGGACUGGUUGACAACAAAGGGAAAAUAGUCUUGUAUGCUCAGAUACCACCGCAAGACCAAGUCAAUGACUUUGUGUUUACUGUUAUGUCGGAUGACGAACACCUAUGUGCAUUAACCCUCCGCCAGAAAUAUGAACAUGCACAUAGGAAAGAUCGGUGUAAAUUACAUAUCCAAUUUGAUUCAAUGAAAUGGUGCCUAAUAGUAACGUCAGGAAGAACAUGGGACUACAACGGAAAGUAUCAAUUGAACGUGAGAGAAUUCAUAUUUUUUAAAGCAGUGUCAGACAGAACGUUUAAUUUUACAUUAGAAGCAGAAGAUCCUUGUGUAAUCAAAAAUCAACCGGGUAAGGUAGUUGAGAUUGAUCAAAGCAAUCCACUAAAAUCUUCAGAUAAUGAUAAAAUAAAUAUAACCACUGCCACCGAUAAAGUAGAUCAACCUCCGGUUAGAGAUAAUGGGAUAAAUUCGUUGGUAACCACUAAGAGUUUAAAUUCAACUCUAGAUGCAAGUAAGACUAAUGAAACUUCUAUUAGAGAGGAUACAACAAUAUUAGCAAUCACUAAUGUAACUUAUAUUGGAGAGGCAACCACUAACGUAACUCCAAUUAGAGAAAUAACAACAGUCAUGGCUGAUCUAAUAAUAAAACUAACAACGAAUGGUACAGCAGCGACUGCUCAGGGUGAAAUAAUACAGACAACAGUACUAUCAAAAGAAGAGAUGGCCCUCAUGGUGACUGGCAUAGAGGAGUGGGGGAGGAUGCUCUAUGGGGAGAUAGAUUGGAGUGAAACUAGAGAGGAGACCGGACUGUGAGAAUCGGACAUCAGAAGGAGGUCCUAUUUUCUUAACUGGUGACCUCACCAUGUGAACCACAACCAUUUCGGACAGUUUGAACAAAUGGACAUUGGACUAAUGGGUUUCAGGGCUGGUGGCUGCAAACAGGAGCAACAACCACAAUGCCCUAACCCCCCACGUUUAUAUAGUAUACCGGUACAUGACAAUAAUCAGAGCUAUCCAAAUCUAUGCAAGCUUGUUGACAAUCUUAGUUUUUAUUUCUUCUAUUGUUUACUUAUUUUUUGAAAUGUCAUUUUUUGAGUUUCAUAUUUUUAUGCCAUAUAUUCUGAAAUGCUAAUUUUCAAUGCAUGCUGAAAAUACUAUGUUAUGUGUGAAUUCUAGUUUGUAAUCUACAUUUGAUAGAUCUUUUUGCCUUAAACAGGUUUAAAAUCCUGAGAAUAUGCAGGUUGAGAUUCCUGAACAUGCUUAAAGGUUUUUAAUGAUGAUCAAAUGUAGUGCAAAAUAUAGCCUAAACGACUGUUAUGUUUUUGUUGUGAUCUUGGCAGUCACAAAAGGGGGGAUGUGUGGUAGAAAUGGCUGAUUAUAUUCUAUGGUAAACUGUGAUUAUUAUGAGGUCUUUAUGUCUAAUAGUGGAAAACACACGGUGCCUGGGGGUCUGGGUUUAGAACAGAUGGACCCCCCCUAAAAGGAGCAGGGCUAUCUUUGCUGACCAUUUGUUGUCUAUUUUCUGACCAUUCAGGUUAAAAUGGAUUUAUGACUGAAUGGAGGCAGACACCUCAAGGAGAAGCUGCUCUGUUUGUGUGUAUAAAAAGACGCCGCAGUUUGUGAACGACAGUGACUCUGCAGACCCACUCAGGCUGUUGUCGUUGUUGUUUUUCUUCACGAUAAAGUCUUUUUCAAUUCUUGCUCAGGACCCCUCGAUUUCUUUUACACUCUCUCUUAAAUUAGUCUAAGUGUUUUAAAUCUCGAUUAAUCUCCGACACUGGACUUCUGGAACCGCCAUCGCUAAGAGCUAGCAAAGGCCGUUCACUAAAGUCACAACUUUUCUCGGUUUUGGGACCUCAGUGGUGGAACGAGCUUCCUGCCGCUCUCAGGACCGCAGAGUCGCUGACUAUCUUCCGAAAAAGACUCAAGACUCACCUGUUCAGAGUCCACCUCGACUCUGCAUAGCCUCCUUCCCACUUCUGACCACCAUUGUACACUGUAUUGUAUUGUAUUGUAUUGUAUUGUAUUGUAUUGUAUUGUAUUGUAGUACUUAACUGUGUAGCAACUGCAGUAGCUGCUAUCAUGGCUGUAACACGGGGAAUUGAUUGACCUAGCGAUUGUGGUACUUGCACUUGGUUCUAUGAACAUCCUUUCUGUACCGACAGCGAUAUAUUGAUGCACUUCUUAUGACAAAUGUACUUAUUGUAAGUCGCUUUGGAUAAAAGCGUCUGCUAAAUGCCCUAAAUGUAAAUGUAAAUGUACAUAUAAACUACAAUACUGGACAUAAUAAAUAGAAUGAAAUUACAAUUAAAAUAAAAUAAAUAUAUAGUUAUAGUUGUAUUGUAUAAAUAGAUGCAGCAUAAACAGAGUGUGUGAAAUGUAAUUGUUAACAGCGGUUUUAUACGGAUGUUGAUUGUUAUAAAGUGUCAACUUGAGUCAACUUGAGAGACUGUCCCUGAGUCUGGGGGGUUCGAGACCAGAUGCUGCGGUAGCGUCUACCAGACGGGAGCAGCUGAAACAGUUUAUUACCGGGGUGAUGAGGGUCUUUAAUAAUCCGGUUAGUCAUCUUCCUGGAGCGCUGAGUGUAGAGGUCCUCCAUGGAUUGGAGCUCCGUCCUGGUGAUGGGCUGGGCAGCUUUCACCACCCUCUGUAAGGGCUUACGGCUGAGGGCGGAGCAACUGCCGUACCAGGCGUAGAUGCAGCCGGUCAGGAUACUCUCUGUGGUGCACCUGUAGUAGUUGAGUAUCCUGGUGUCCUUGUUGAACCUCCUCAGCCUGCGGAGGAUGAAGAGCUGCUGUCUUGUCAUCUUUGUGAUGGCGUCGGUGUGGUGAGUCCAGGUCAGGUCCUCGCUGAUGUGGACCCCGAGGAACGUGAAGCUGCUGACCCACUCUACUGUCGUCCCGUUGAUGGUGAUGGGGGGCGUUCCCGGCUCCCUGUCGCUUCCUGUAGUCCACAAUCAGGUCCUUGGUUUUUCUGAGGUUGAGAUGGAGGUUGUUGUUCUGGCACCAAGAUGUCAGGGUACUGACCUCUUCUCUGUACGCCGUCUCGUCUUCAUCGGUGAUCAGGCCGAUGACGGUUGUGUCGUCACUCAGCAAACUUGACGAUGGUGUUGGAGCUGUGUGUGGCCACGCAGUCAUGGAUGAAUAGGGAGUAGAGGAGAGGGCUGAGCACGCAGCCCUGGGGUGCGCCGGUGAUCAGGGUUCAAGGGGAGGAUGUGGCGUUUCCUAUCCGCACUGCCUGGGGUCUGCCCUUCAGGAAUCUCAGGAUCCAGUCGCAAAGGGCGGUGUUGAGACCGAGGUCCUGGAGCUCCACAGCGAGCUUGGAGGGCACAAUGGUGUUGAAUGUUGAACUGUAGUCAAUGAACAGCAUUCUCACAUAUGUGUUCCUCUGGUCCAGGUGAGAGAGGGCAGUGUGGAGGGUGAGGGUGAGGGCGAUGGCGUCGUCUGUGGACCUGUAUGCAAACUGUAGGGGGUCCAGUGAGUUGAGUUGUACUAAUCAUGUCAUGCUGCAGUGAAUAUUAAAAAGUGUAAUGACUGUUAGAGUUGUUGUUAGAGCUGUAGACGAAAUGAGCUGUACAUUACUCAAAUGUUAUUUCAACUUGUAGGCCUAUAGCUGAAAAGUAAUUUAGUAUAGUAAUUGAGGUAGUAUUAAG
ensembl:lncRNA